UACGAAGGGUGCAAGCGUUACUCGGAAUUACUGGGCGUAAAGCGUGCGUAGGUGGUGAGUUAAGUCUGAUGUGAAAUCCCCCGGCUUAACCUGGGAACUGCGUCUGAUACUGGAGGGCUUGAGUAUGGGAGAGGGAUGUAGAAUUCCAGGUGUAGCGGUGAAAUGCGUAGAUAUCUGGAGGAAUACCGGUGGCGAAGGCGGCAUCCUGGACCAUUACUGACGCUGAGGCGCGAAAGCUAGGGGAGCAAACGGG
rnacentral:rRNA from 1 species